ACUUUCAGAAGUAAAAAUAAAUGAGUUAUUCUCUUUACAGUUAAAUUGUCAUAUUUGGCACUUAUAGUACUAUGGCUCUUGAAUAAGAGCAAAGUACCAUAAGGUAUCUCAAUCUAAGGGUAUCAUUGAUCCAAAAGGGUGAAAGCAGCCCUGGAGUGGAGAAGGUUGACCUCAAGAUGACUGAUGCUAUAGAUUUCUAAUGAGAACAUAUUUCCAUGCCCUUUCCAAAGUGUAGAUAUCAGAGGAAUCUGCAGUUCUUACUUCUCUGUAGGAGCAAUCACCAAGAAUAUUAGUCAUCCAGGCUUGAUAUUAGGAUUUGAAAGUAUCUUAAAAGUCCUCUUAUUCAUCCUAUUAUCUGUCCUUAUAAUUAAUUGCUUUGAUGUCUUUAGCAAAGCAACAUUAUCCAUUAAAAUUCAUUGUCUCUUUGCAUCACUUGCAUCAUCCUAGGAUUCUCCUGUUCUUAAUUCUGAGUUCCAGAUUCAAGAUCUUAAGAUAAGCCAAGAGCUUGUUAGCUUCAUAUAUGUGGCCAUCUCAAGUACUUAAUCUCAUCUUUAAAGCUUGGGAAGGUCCUUUGCUGGAACAAUUUUCAAGUAAGUUCCUUCUUCAUGAAUAUAUUUAUGUAAAGGUAGGAUGAGCUAUUGGCAACUAAAUUCAUUUUUUUAAGUAUAAAAUGAAUGUAUCAUUGUCCGAGGUAUAUGACUUGGGCAUUGGUAGAGACUUCCCCAAAGGAAUGCCAUCUAAUCUGUCCAAACCUCAUUAGCCAUUACCUUGGGAGUCUGAUAGUUCUCCUUGAUUAUAGCCAUCCAAAGGGAAAUCAAAGCUUCAGAAUAUAACUGGCUGAGAACAUUUUUGUAAAUAUAUACCAUCCCAGAAGGGAGGAGUAGAACCUGUAGAUCUGGCCUGUUCGUCAGCAGCAGAGAUAUUAAUAAAGAAGAUAAUUCAGAAGUGUGAUGCAGUUACUGAGAGCCACUGGUACACCAUUUUCCCUCUUAGUUCUUUUUCACUUUCACUUAGUCAUUCCAGACGAUCUUGUCCAUUAUGGAUUAGAUUUAUAUAUAGAAGAGGCAACUGCUUCACCAUUCCAUCAGAAGAUAAUACUAUCUCCUCUUAGGCUCAUCUUAUCUACUAACUCUAAUGAGAGAGAUAAGCUCUCAGAAAAAAAAAAUGGAUCUUCCAAAAAAGCUAU
rnacentral:lncRNA from 1 species